GAGUACGUAAGGAAAAGGAAAGGUUAACCGCUAUCUUU
rnacentral:rRNA from 1 species